AGCACUUGCUCAGUCUGUCAGGAUGAAGGCAAGUGAGAGGAACUAUGAGGCAGAUUUUUCUGGAUUGAGCUCAGAUAUGACAAUCAAAACCCUCAAUGCAGGUCAGAAUGAGGGUGUUUCUGGAAAUGCUGUGUUUUUGUUCUGCUCUUGCAGUGAAGUCAAGACAUGGUAGUGUAUUGAGACAAAAUGACAGUGGGAAUAUAUAAGACAUUAUGCAGAGAAACAUUUUAUUUGAUUCAAAAUACAACAUUUUCAGAGGAGUGCUUCUCCAGUAUGUUUAACAAGAUUCAAUAUCCACCAAUCAAGGAAACCAUGGAAAAACAGGAGAACAGGAGAAAAUGAAGUUAUUAUGGUUAUUAUGUUG